CUUAGUGGCGGACGGGUGAGUAACGCGUGAGUAACCUGCCUUUCAGAGGGGGAUAACGUUCUGAAAAGAACGCUAAUACCGCAUGACAUAUCGGAGCUGCAUGGCUCUGGUAUCAAAGGAGCAAUCCGCUGAAAGAUGGACUCGCGUCCGAUUAGCCAGUUGGCGGGGUAAAGGCCCACCAAAGCGACGAUCGGUAGCCGGGUUGAGAGACUGAACGGCCACAUUGGGACUGAGACACGGCCCAGACUCCUACGGGAGGCAGCAGUGGGGGAUAUUGCACAAUGGGCGAAAGCCUGAUGCAGCAAUGCCGCGUGAGGGAAGACGGUCUUCGGAUUGUAAACCUCUGUCCUUGGUGAAGGUAAUGACGGUAGCCAAGGAGGAAGCUCCGGCUAACUACGUGCCAGCAGCCGCGGUAAUACGUAGGGAGCAAGCGUUGUCCGGAUUUACUGGGUGUAAAGGGUGCGUAGGCGGCUUUUUAAGUCGGGCGUGAAAGCUGUGGGCUUAACCCACAAAUUACGUUCGAAACUGGAAGGCUUGAGUGAAGUAGAGGUAGGCGGAAUUCCCGG
rnacentral:rRNA from 1 species